rnacentral:lncRNA from 1 species
CUCCUUUUCUCUAUGCCUUCCUGACUUUUCCAUGAUUUUUAUAGCAGCUGACCUUUGCCGUGACAGCACUUCUGCAUAAUUCGUUAUUGCAACAGUGAGAAGUCGUGUUUCACUGAAUUUAGAAAAGACAGCAUGAGAGACGAAUGGAAGGUGACGUAGCAGUGAACAAGACGAUGGCAGCGGCUGAAAAGACUGGAUUUGUAUUGUUUCUGCUGCUCAGCACCUCCAUGGGAAACGACACAAAGGAGUUCGCUGUGCAGUGUAGUGCUGGACAGACUCUCACUCAACCCUGUAAACACACCAUGUCCGACUGCUCCAUGGUCACAUGGAUAUUCAAUUCACCUUCUACUUCAGUCAUUGAACUAAUUUCUCACGGGAAGGUCAAAGACACACAGGGAUCUGGAAGACUGGCAGUGGGGCCUGACUGCUCUCUACUCAUCAAUAACCUGAACACUGAAGAUACUGGAUGGUACACCUGUCGACUGUAUCACAAUAGCAAUAAAUUCACUGAUUUUUCUCGUGUUUCCCUGUCCGUUCACAAAAAUUCCAGGACCGAGUCCAUCAGCUGUGUAGAGUCUCCAUCCAAUGUGACUCCUGCAGACAAUGCAGGCUUCCCGGUAGUCCCCGUAGCUCUAUCAUGUGUGGCUGUGUGUGUUGGAGUCUUUCUCACGAUAGUUAUAAUAUUGGUCUACAAGAGAAAACCAGGUGAGGGAGUGUGA